rnacentral:rRNA from 1 species
GUGUCAGCCGCCGCGGUAAUACGGAGGGUGCAAGCGUUAAUCGGAAUUACUGGGCGUAAAGCGCACGCAGGCGGUUGAUUAAGUUAGAUGUGAAAUCCCCGGGCUUAACCUGGGAAUGGCAUCUAAGACUGGUCAGCUAGAGUCUUGUAGAGGGGGGUAGAAUUCCAUGUGUAGCGGUGAAAUGCGUAGAGAUGUGGAGGAAUACCGGUGGCGAAGGCGGCCCCCUGGACAAAGACUGACGCUCAGGUGCGAAAGCGUGGGGAGCAAACAGGAUUAGAUACCCUGGUAGUCCACGCUGUAAACGAUGUCGAUUUGGAGGUUGUGCCCUUGAGGCGUGGCUUCCGGAGCUAACGCGUUAAAUCGACCGCCUGGGGAGUACGGCCGCAAGGUUAAAACUCAAAUAAAUUGACGG